rnacentral:rRNA from 1 species
CCUACGGGUGGCAGCAGUGGGGAAUAUUGCACAAUGGGGGAAACUCUGAUGCAGCGACGCCGCGUGAGUGAAGACGUAAUUCGUUAUUGAAAGCUCUAUCUGCAUGGAAGUAAAUGACGGUACCUGAGUAAGAAGCUCCGUCUAACUACGUGCCAGCAGCCGCGGUAAUACGUAGGGGGCAAGCGUUAUCCGGAUUUACUGGGUGUAAAGGGAGCGUAGACGGCAGUGUAAGUCUGGAGUGAAGGGCGGGGGCUCAACCCCAGGAUUGCCCUGGAAACUGUACGGCUGGAGUACAGGAGAGGUGAGUGGAAUUCCUAGUGUAGCGGUGAAAUGCGUAGAUAUUAGGAGGAACACCAGUGGCGAAGGCGGCUUACUGGACUGUAACUGACAUUGAGGCUCGAAAGCGUGGGGAGCAAACAGGAUUAGAUACCCCUGUAGUC